rnacentral:ncRNA from 2 species
AGCGUCAGGAUCGGGAGAAUCCGGCGCGGUGGCUUUGCCGCAGUCGGUGCCGAAGGAGCAACCGCCCCGGUAAACUCUCAGGCGCAACGGACCGUCCUGACAGA